CUACGGGGGGCUGCAGUCGAGAAUCUUCCGCAACGGGCGCAAGCCUGACGGAGCAAUGCCGCGUGAGGGAUGACGGCCCUAGGGUUGUAAACCUCUGUCAGAAGGGACGAAGAACGUGACGGUACCUUCAGAGGAAGCCACGGCUAACUCUGUGCCAGCAGCCGCGGUAAUACAGAGGUGGCGAGCGUUGUUCGGAUUUACUGGGCGUAAAGGGUGCGUAGGCGGUUUGGUAAGUCGGAUGUGAAAGCCCAAGGCUCAACUUUGGAACUGCAUCCGAUACUGCUGAACUAGAGUGCAGGAGGGGAGAGCGGAAUUCUUGGUGUAGCGGUGAAAUGCGUUGAUAUCAAGAAGAACACCGGUGGCGAAGGCGGCUCUCUGGAAUGUUACUGACGCUGAGGCACGAAAGCUGGGGGAGCAAACAGGAUUAGAUACCCGAGUAGUC
rnacentral:rRNA from 1 species